GAUUCCCCUAGUAACUGCGAGUGAAGCGGGAAAAGCUCAAAUUUGAAAUCUGGCGGUCUUUGGCUGUCCGAGUUGUAAUCUAGAGAAGUGUUACCCGCGUUGGACCGUGUAUAAGUCUCCUGGAAUGGAGCGUCAUAGAGGGUGAGAAUCCCGUCUUUGACACGGACUACCAAGGCUUUGUGGUAUGCUCUCAAAGAGUCGAGUUGUUUGGGAAUGCAGCUCAAAAUGGGUGGUAAAUGCCAUCUAAAGCUAAAUAUUGGCGAGAGACCGAUAGCGAACAAGUACCGUGAGGGAAAGAUGAAAAGAACUUUGGAAAGAGAGUUAAACAGUACGUGAAAUUGCUGAAAGGGAAACGCUUAAAGUCAGUCGCGUUGGCUUGAAAUCAACCUUGCUUUUGCUGGGUGUACUUUCUAGUCGACGGGUCAACAUCAGUUUUGACCAGUGGAUAAAGUCAAUGGGAAUGUGGCUCCUUCGGGAGUGUUAUAGCCCAUAGUCGCAUACAUUGGUUGGGACUGAGGCUCUCAGCACGCCUUUAUGGCCUGGUUUCGACCAAGUUCGUGCUUAGGAUGUUGGCAUAAUGGCUUUAAUCGACCCGUCUUGAAACACGGACCAAGGAGUCUAACAUGCUUGCGAGUAUUUGGGUGGAAAACCCUUGUGCGUAAUGAAAGUGAAAAGUUGAGAUCCCUGUCGUGGGGAGCAUCGACGCCUGGACCAGAGCUUUUGUGACGGAUCCACGGUAGAGCACGUAUGUUGGGACCCGAAAGAUGGUGAACUAUGCCUGAAUAGGGUGAAGCCAGAGGAAACUCUGGUGGAGGCUCGUAGCGAUUCUGACGUGCAAAUCGAUCGUCAAAUUUGGGUAUAGGGGCGAAAGACUAAUCGAACCAUCUGAG
rnacentral:rRNA from 2 species